AUGGCGGGGAGCAAGCGGAAAGCUUCCCCAACCCAUCCACGGGGGAGCAAGUAUGCCUCGUCCCUUAAUUAUUUAGGGGACUCGGAUUUCCAAUCCAUCCAUUCCUCUGCGAGCUCCUGGAGUUCUAUGGCCUCCAGCUGCAUAAUUUUACUCCCGCCUCCAUAUUACACAUCGCAGGCUACGUUGCCCUUUGCGAGUUGUUCCUGGGCUGCGAAGAUCAUUUCGAGCUAUGGCAUAGGCUAUUCUGCCUCGUGCCUUGUACACGGAAGGGGUCAAUAUUUCAAGUGGGCGGAGCUGAAAUAUGGCGUAUCGCCGGGACCGGAUACCUGUUCGGUACUCUGA
rnacentral:rRNA from 1 species